rnacentral:lncRNA from 10 species
GGCCAGCCCUUUGCUCAGAAGUGGCAACAUGGGGCAGAAUUGAGUGAUCCUUCUCUGGAACAUGCAUUUGUAACGGUGAAUAGAAUACGUGACAGAACGCAAAACCUGGAGGCAAAUGUAAAGAAAUCAAGGGCGAAGAGACAAGGUCUCACUCAGAAUCCGAUUCUGUCCUCCAGCCUGGAGUAUGUGGUGCAAUCCCAGAUCUCUGCAGGCUUGAGCUCCUGGGCUCAAGCGAUCCUCCUGCCUCAGCCUCUCAAGUAGAUGGAACUACAGAGGUCGGAUCAGAAAACGCCAUAUGCUAGUUCACAGGGAAUUUCCAAAGAGCAGCUAGCUCCAGUUGGUUGCUAAGAGACAGCUCCACAGCUGGACUUUGGCUGCAAAAUUUGAACAAAAAAAGAAGAGCACAAAUGAGCUUGCCAGGUAACAGAAUCUGCGAUGACUUCCCGUCCUGUUUGCUGGCAUCUGUGCUUCCAGAAGCAAUAAAGCAUCACUUUCCUGCUUGUGAUUUACAUGAGGAGAAACAGGCAGACACUCUUCUCCAAGGGGUUUCCUGACCAGCCUUGAAUCUGCUAGCCAGAGCCUAGCAGGACUCUGAGACAAUGAGAUUCCUGAUGCUGGUAAUGAAUGAAGGACAAUGAGAUUCCUGAUGCUGGUAAUGCAUGAAGAAAGAUCAGAGUUAUAAGUGGACUAUGCUUCCAUCCUCCCAAGAGUUCUCCUGGGGUUAGUUUAAAGACAGGGGAUUAACUCUAUUAAAAGUAGAUUUGGCAAAAAGCUGAAAUCAAACACAUGCUUAUGAAUAGGGAACGGGUGAAAUAAGUCAUGGUACAUCCACAGAAUGGAGUAUUACUUAGCUAUAAAUAGACAUGAAGAAUCAUCCACAGAAUGGAGUACUACUUAGCUAUAAAUAGACAUGAAGAAUACUUUUAUGUUUAAAAAGUAUUCAUGUUGCUUUUUCUCCAGGAUGAAAUUUUAAGUUAAAAAAAUUGAAAUUGGCCGGGCGUGGUGGCUCACGUCUG